rnacentral:rRNA from 1 species
CCUACGGGAGGCAGCAGUAGGGAAUUUUCGUCAAUGGGCGCAAGCCUGAACGAGCGAUGCCGCGUGAGUGAAGAAGGCCUUCGGGUCGUAAAGCUCUGUUGCGGGGGAAAAAAGGCAGCAUCAGGAAAUGGGUGCUGACUGAUGGUGCCCCGCCAGAAAGUCACGGCUAACUACGUGCCAGCAGCCGCGGUAAUACGUAGGUGGCGAGCGUUAUCCGGAAUGGUUGGGCGUAAAGGGUGCGCAGGCGGUCCUGCAAGUCUGGAGUGAAACGCAUGGGCUCAACUCAUGCAUGGCUUUGGAAACUGGAGGACUGGAGAGCAGGAGAGGGCGGUGGAACGCCAUGUGUAGCGGUAAAAUGCGUAGAUAUAUGGAAGAACACCAGUGGCGAAGGCGGCCGCCUGGCCUGUUGCUGACGCUGAGGCACGAAAGCGUGGGGAGCAAAUAGGAUUAGAUACCCGAGUAGUC